UCGGGAGGCAGCAGUGGGGAAUAUUGCACAAUGGGCGCAAGCCUGAUGCAGCCAUGCCGCGUGUAUGAAGAAGGCCUUCGGGUUGUAAAGUACUUUCAGCAGUGAGGAAGGUGGGUAUGUUAAUAGCAUAUUCAUUUGACGUUAGCUGCAGAAGAAGCACCGGCUAACUCCGUGCCAGCAGCCGCGGUAAUACGGAGGGUGCGAGCGUUAAUCGGAAUUACUGGGCGUAAAGCGCAUGCAGGUGGUUUGUUAAGUCAGAUGUGAAAGCCCGGGGCUCAACCUCGGAAUUGCAUUUGAAACUGGCAAACUAGAGUACUGUAGAGGGGGUAGAAUUUCAGGUGUAGCGGUGAAAUGCGUAGAGAUCUGAAGGAAUACCGGUGGCGAAGGCGGCCCCCUGGACAGAUACUGACACUCAGAUGCGAAAGCGUGGGGAGCAAACAGGAUUAGAUACCCUGGUAG
rnacentral:rRNA from 1 species